rnacentral:lncRNA from 1 species
CAAUCUACCCAAGCUUAAUUUUAAGAAAAAGAAAAAUCCGAACAAAUAUUGAUAUUCAAGGAUGGCCAAAAACACCGCUCUCGAACAGAACAAUCAUGAAUUCUUGAGCACGAGCAUUAAUCUUAGCUAUGAACUCUUGACAACGUGAAGCUAUAAAAGAGAAAAUAGUGUUUUCACCUAGUCUCUUUGGAAGCUCAUCACUAACUUGCUUUCUACAUAUUGGGCACGUCCAAUUGCGC